CACGUAGGGGACGAGCGUUGUCCGGAUUCAUUGGGCGUAAAGCGCGCGUAGGCGGCUCGGAAAGUCGGUCGUGAAAUGCCGGGGCUCAACCCCGGGACUGCGUCCGAUACUCUCGAGCUGGAGGCAGGUAGGGGAGAUCGGAAUUCCUGGUGUAGCGGUGAAAUGCGCAGAUAUCAGGAGGAACACCGAUGGCGAAGGCAGGUCUCUGGGCCACUACUGACGCUGAGAAGCGAAAGCAUGGGGAGCGAACAGG
rnacentral:rRNA from 1 species